rnacentral:rRNA from 1 species
CGCCAGACUCCUACGGGAGGCAGCAGUGGGGAAUAUUGCACAAUGGGGGAAACCCUGAUGCAGCGACGCCGCGUGAGUGAAGAAGUAUUUCGGUAUGUAAAGCUCUAUCAGCAGGGAAGAAAAUGACGGUACCUGAUUAAGAAGCCCCGGCUAACUACGUGCCAGCAGCCGCGGUAAUACGUAGGGGGCAAGCGUUAUCCGGAUUUACUGGGUGUAAAGGGAGCGUAGACGGUGAUGCAAGUCAGAAGUGAAAGCCCGGGGCUCAACUCCGGGACUGCUUUUGAAACUGUGUGACUGGAGUGCAGGAGAGGUAAGCGGAAUUCCUGGUGUAGCGGUGAAAUGCGUAGAUAUCAGGAGGAACACCAGUGGCGAAGGCGGCUUACUGGACUGUAACUGACGUUGAGGCUCGAAAGCGUGGGGGGCAAACAGGAUUAGAUACCCCAGUAA